rnacentral:rRNA from 1 species
GACGUAGGGCGCGAGCGUUGUCCGGAUUUAUUGGGCGUAAAGAGUUCGUAGGCGGCUUGUCGCGUCGAGUGUGAAAACCCGCGGCUCAACCGUGCGGUCUGCCGUCGAUACGGGCAGGCUAGAGUUCGGUAGGGGAGACUGGAAUUCCUGGUGUAGCGGUGAAAUGCGCAGAUAUCAGGAGGAACACCGGUGGCGAAGGCGGGUCUCUGGGCCGAUACUGACGCUGAGGAGCGAAAGCGUGGGGAGCGAACAGG